rnacentral:rRNA from 1 species
CACGUAGGGCGCAAGCGUUGUCCGGAAUUAUUGGGCGUAAAGAGCUCGUAGGCGGACUGUCACGUCUGCUGUGAAAAGCUGGGGCUUAACCCUGGCCUUGCAGUGGAUACGGGCAGACUAGAGGUAGGUAGGGGAGAAUGGAAUUCCCGGUGUAGCGGUGAAAUGCGCAGAUAUCGGGGAGGAACACCGGUGGCGAAGGCGGGUUCUC